CAUCUUUAUUCCCACUACAUCUCAUGUUAAUAGAGAGGUCCAGUCCCCUAAUGCAACUUGCCUACUGUAUCCAGCCGAGACAAAUUAAUGCCGGAAAGACCUUAGCAGCUCUACAAUGGUGGAAGACCUCUAGACUUAAUAUUAGAUAAUCUAGUCUUAGUGAUUCUAACUUUGAGCUCUUCAUAGGUCGUAAUUGAUCAAUUGGCCAGGUAAGCAGGUGGGAGGCUCUCCUUACUCAAAGAGUAAGGUCCUAAUUAAGUAACCACCUUUAAUGCUUUCCUAGACACCAAGAUCAAUUAAUUAAAUAUGGCUAGCUCAAUGUAUCGCUCACUCUCGACUGAUUGAGGAGGUUUUAGGUCUCGAUUAGGGUUUACAUCUUAUGUAAAUAUGAAACUCCUUUCAUAUGUUAUGCGUUUACAUCUUAUGUAAAUGACAUAUUUGUUUAGGUUUACACCUUAUGUAAAUAUAAAACCCUUUCAUAUGUUAUGUGUUUACAUCUUAUGUAAAUGACAUAUUAGUUUAGGUUUACAUGUUAUGUAAAUGACCUAACCUAUUUGGGUUUUAUUUACAUCCCAUGUAAAGAUUGUUUAACAUUUAUAUAUAUACAUCUCAUGCAUAUACAAUUUCCUUUUAAGCAUUGGCCUAAACAAUAUUAUCCUUUAAUUAUCAUGAAUCCAUGAUUUGAUCAUAUCUUAUUCCUCUCAUGCAUAUAUAAUUUUCCUUUUAAGCAUAGGCAUAA
rnacentral:lncRNA from 1 species